rnacentral:rRNA from 1 species
UACCAGCACCCCGAGUGGUCGGGACGUUUAUUGGGCCUAAAGCAUCCGUAGCCGGUUCUACAAGUCUUCCGUUAAAUCCACCUGCUUAACAGAUGGGCUGCGGAAGAUACUAUGGAGCUAGGAGGCGGGAGAGGCAAGCGGUACUCGAUGGGUAGGGGUAAAAUCCGUUGAUCCAUUGAAGACCACCAGUGGGCGAAGGCGG